rnacentral:rRNA from 1 species
UACGUAGGGGGCGAGCGUUGUCCGGAUUUACUGGGCGUAAAAGGCUCGUAGGUGGCUCGUCCAGUCGGAUGUGAAAUCUCCCGGCUCAACUGGGAGGGGUCAUUCGAUACUAGCGGGCUCGAGGUCGGUAGAGGGAAGCGGAAUUCCGGGUGUAGUGUGGAAUACGUAGAUAUCCGGAGGAACACCAGUGGCGAAGGCGGCUUCCUGGACCGACAUUGACGCUGAACGGCGAAAGCUAGGGGAGCAAACGGG